CUCAAAUGGAAAAGGAAAGUCACAUUUUCUUAAGUUACCAAGUUGCUUCUUAAAUUACAUUUACAAAGAGGCGAAAGAAACAAGAUCAAUAUCACCAAAUAGAUGAGAACAAACUAAUUACUUGACCAAAUUGAAACAAAAAAGAAAAACAAUUAAAUUUAACUAGAGAAACAAUUAAAAGAAAUUAAAAUUGAAACGGAAAAUCGGUUGACAACAACAUUGGAACAUUUUCUCGUUUCCAUGGAAACGGCGCCGAAAAGGUAACGUGACUAAACUGUUUCUCUUUUCUGAUUAGCUUCAAUUUUUUAUUCUUUUCUUUUAAUUUUUUUUAAUUGUUGAUUUUUCUCUGUUAAUUGUGUGUUGAUUUUUUUCUCUGCUGGACAAAUAGUUAAUUGUUCAACUGUAAACGAUGGAGAAACAAGUAAAUAGUAUUUCGUUUUUAACAUUUUCAAUGGAAAUUGGAAUCAUAAUCACUAAGGUUACGUUUCCAUUGUGUAAGAAACUGUGUUGGAGAUCAUUGUGUGUUCAUGACAGAUGAAAUAUCAUCGAGAAGAUAAUUGGACCUUUUCAUCAUUAUCAUCAUUAAAAUAAUCUUUUACUUUCAUUACUAUAUCAUCAUCUUUUCAUUAGAUUGGAAAAAAGGAAAAUGAACAAACAGUUUAACGAUUGGAAAAGGAUUGGAAAACCCUGGUCAACAAUUUCAAUUUGUCCUCUUUUUUGUUGCCUCUUUCACUGUCCAUGGAAAAAUCUAUUUGUAUUGGCAAAUUAUUGUGAUCAACUAGGAGACUCUAAUCAGUUGAGUUUAUCAUUUAACUUACCGAUCGGUCAGUUAGUUGGCUGAUUAAUUGAAAAGCCAGGAAGAUGUAACAUGUCAAGAAAAUGGAGAGAAUCGUAAACAACUCAAUAAAUAUUGGAAUCUAAAGAGUAAACCAAAUCUAAAUCAGUUUUUUACUCUUCCACCACCAUCAUCAUCACACAUCAUCCAGAAUCAUGAUGAUUAAAUGAGUAAAAAAAAAUCAACAAUAAUCUUGACCACCAGAUACCAGAUGAGAAUCUCAGAUUUCCUUUCAAUGUCAUCGCCACAAUCAAAAAGCCAAUAUUGGGAAAGAGUAACAUAUUGGAUACAAUUUAGUGGGAAUCAACAUGAUUGUUAAAUGGAUUCUCCAAACAAUCAAAGUAAAUAAUCACAAGCAAGGAUUCAAAUUAAAAGACGAAAGUGAAAUGAUCCAAACUCAAGCUAAUACGAUGUUUUGAGCAAAAACUACGAUGGGAAUGAGAGAAAAAAAUAAGAAAAGUUGAAAAUCGCUUCAGGAAAACAAACGGAAAAGGAAAAGAAUAUGGAGAAAAGUUCUGGUUGUUUACCUUCCACACCCACACCAACCUCUUCAUCCUCUUAAUAGACUUUAAAAUAGUUGAAACAACAGAAUAAGAUAUAAAUUCAAAGGUUACAUGGUUAAGCUGAUUCCUUUUAAAUCCUACCUAAUAAUCAGCUGAAAAAAAGGAUGGUCCAAAAAGGUAAAACUACCUAUCGAUGUAUCCAUAAUAUCAACAUCAAUUGGCGAUAAUGGAUAAAAAAAUUUUCCUAUCCAAAGAAAAUGUUUUCCAUCAUGAAAAAUUAACCUUCUACUGCCACCAUUGAGUUUAAUCUCUUUUUCAUGGUGGGUUGAAAUUGGUGGAACACAAACUACAACCAUUAAAUCAACAUUUAAAUUUGAUAAUAAUAAUAACCAGAAAACUAUUAAUACACUGAUAGUAAAUGUGGCGGAUAAAUUGCUUUCAAAUAUGAACAAUUAACCAUCAAGGAUUAACAUGGGAUUCCAAUUCAUUUUCACGAAUAAUAUUAUCAUUAUAAUUUCCGGAUGAAAGUUACUCAAAAAUUUUGAUCUAAAUCAUGAUGAUUAUCAUUUAAAUCAACUGGACUUAUCAUCACUUCCUCAACUAAUUUAAUAAUCAAAUGAGAAUGAAGAUGAUUAUCGAUAAUAUCGAUCGUUGAACUUUUUUUUUCACUCUCGACCAAAAUAAGGAUCAUUUUGAUUGUCUCACCAUUGAACAUAAAGAUGAGGAUAAUGAUCAAGAAUCACAGGAUGAUUAUGAAAUCAAAAGAACGAAAAAGUUCUGGGGAAGAAAAUGUGAUAUUAGAAUUCUUUGUACACAGUUUCAUGGAUAAAAUUCACAUGGAAACAAAAAGUUCAAGAAACAGGGUUGAAGAGACUUGGAAUUUAUGAUAUCUGUCAAAACAAUCAUGGUGAUAUCAUGUUAGAGAUAAUAUUGAAACUAAAUCAAAGUUCAGUGAAAGGAAUGAAAAAAAAGGUCUCAACUUAAACAAGUUCAAAGUUAUUUAACAACAAUAUGGUUAUCAGAAUCAGAAUCGUCAUGAUGAUGAUCAUUAUCAGGGGAAAUUCAGUUGGAGCAAAAGAAAAGAAGAUAAAAGUUCUUUAAAUGAGAUAGAUUAUCAAAUCAUAUCAUGUCGACGAGAUGAAAUCUCAUGAAGAUGGAAAAUAAUGAGAGAAGAAAAAGUUCUCUGUCAUGAAGGCAAAAAGAAAAUCGAAAAAGCAGAAAAUUCUAAAAUUGGAACAUAUCGAAAAUGGAAUCAUCGACAAUCUGAUAAUUCUUAAUAUUUUUCACCAAAGUAAAUUCUGUUUACAUUAUAAGAGGAUAACAAGGAAUCGUCAUUAUUAUCAUGAUGAUGAACAUUCAGCUCAUCCUCAUGGUAAAGGAUCUAUCAAAGAUCGAGACAGUAGUGAUAGAGAGAAAGUGGAAUGGAAGAAAAUUUCUUUUUCGAAAAAGAGAAGAAAAAAAUUCCAAAAUAUAACCUCAAGAUUCUGGUAAAAGUUAUUCUGUCAAGUGUAAUGUGAUAUCUUUUUAUAAUAUGAAUUGUUCAUCUUCCACCACCCCCAACCCUGAUCAUCUUAAUUCAUCUCACAUUUCACCAUGAAAGAAAUUCAUGAUUCAUAAUAUUUAUAUAAUCAUCAUUCUCAUCAAAAUAAUAACACUUUUUUUCUCUCUCACUGUUACAAGUUGGAUUAAGUUUUCUCUCUCUCUCAUUU